UGGUGUGUGUAUACAGAUGUGUAAAAAUAACUCGCUUAUAAUGCCAUCGACAUCUCUUUGUUAAGCAAGCCUUUAUUCUAUAACCCACAAUCAUCAUAAUUAAAUCCCGUUGAUCCCUUGACAUACAGGAAUCCUUCCUCAUCGUUUGAUGGUGUCAGUGCUAAUCAGCCCUUGCAGCUGCUUGGACAGAGCUGGGCACAUCGCUUCAAGUAUGUCUGGUGUCGCCACAUCUGGCCUGGGUAGAGAUGCGUCUUCCUUGGCAGGACCUUUUGUGGCGCGCAGCUCCAUCGGGACCACGCCUCGUGACAACGACAAAUUGCCACCCCCUUUCUUCUUCAGUUAACAGUUCUGGGACAGAGGUUGUGGGCUAGGACUAGAGCCAAUGUAGACGGAGAUGAAGACCAUGAAGAGCAGGAGUAGAAAGAGACUGGCUGCCACGGCGGUCACUGCAAACAGCUCCAUCCUCAGCUUAGCACUCGCGACCAGGACUCCUGGACUGCAGUGAAGCAAAGGGUUGCCAUGGGAACCGCAGUGGCGCCCCCCGCGGAACCCCGCGUUUAUUACGGAGAAUCGAUCUGCACCAGGCACCGAGGCUGCUACUGCGGAGGCCGCUGGAGGCUAGCAAGGGGAGGCGAGGGGGGUGGGGAGCAAAGGCGCAGGGCAUCCGCCCCUCCCCCACCCGCCUCCAUCCAUCUGGGUUCAAGAACAGCAGAAAUUGCGUUUAGUGCAAAUUGCUGAAGCUCCCUACUCCGUCCUCAGUGGUGGGUGGCACGGUGGCUCGCGGGGAGCAGACGACAGGGAAAGUCGGAACACCGGUGCCAUGAAUCCCCUUCGUCCCCUCCGCAGCCUGCCAGCAGUAUGGGAAUCAAAGGCCUGUCUCGCUGGGGCCCCCGGGAUCCUGCGGAUCCGUGGGGGGCGGGCAGGAUCUGCCUCCAGAAUCCCACAAACCCUACGUGAGCGAGUUCGAGGCCAGAGGGCAGGCUUGCAGGUCCAUCCCCCCCGCCCCCCAACCAGCCAGGACAGCACUUAAUCACCGUGUCGCCUGUGGCGUGCCCUUAAGUCUGAGAGGAAAAGAAAAUUCUCCUGGAAUCUUCGUUAGAAAAUCAUUUCCUUUAUUAGCCCUCAGUUCCGGGAGCCAAGGACACUUGAAGGCACGGUUGGGGUCCUGAAGGAAGAGAUGGGGUCCGGACUGGAGACAGCCAUCUCUGUUUGCAGCCCCCGAGACGGAGUCACUCAUCCACCUUGUCUCCCGACUGACUCUCCUGCUCUGGUGUGCUGGAGGAGGCCAGAGGUCAGAUUUCCUGGAGUUGGAGUUAUCUAUCGGCAGCUCUGAGCUGCCCGAAAUGGAUACAGGGAACCAAAGAGGAGUCCUCUGCAAGAGGAGUACCUGCUCUUAACUGGUUGUUAAGUGCUGAAGAGACAUCAAUCCAAGGCUAAUGAGGAGGUAGUUUGACAACUGGUCCCGCCCCGACUCCUGUGAUUCAGACCAGCUCUGGGACUGCCCAACCAGCAACCAGUUGGUGCUCGCGUCUUGCCAGAUUUAUGAAAUGUGCUUGGGAUGUGGAGAAGGUAGAGGUGAGAUUUUUACUCUAGAUGAAGCUACAACAUCUGCUAUAAAUACUGAGGCUUGAAAAGCUGA